AUCCAAUCUAAUUAAAAUUAAAUCUCCGCACUUGCUCCUCGUUGUUUAUAUGUCGCGCGUGGGAGAUCUAACAACAGCCGCUUGAGGGUCAUGUCUAGGGUCAAAUUUGGUGAACUUUGACCGACCAAUCAGCGUGCAGAAAAUCAAUUUCGAUUAACCAAUCAGCGACGGGCUUGUAUACCAUUAUCGGAUCGUUAAAAAACAUGGAUGCGCCCAGUUUGGACAACGUUUUGACAAAAGUUUUGCCAAAAUUUGGUAUAAAUGAUAUAAAGAAGGAGCAAAAGGAAAUUUUAGAGUAUUUAGUUAACAAGAAGAAGUGCGUGGCUGUACUACCGACUGGUUUUGGCAAGUCACUGCCGUUUCAACUGUACCUUCCAGUUGUCCGGGAGGUUAUUGAAAACAGUUCUGACUGAAAAGUUUUAGUCUGUUGUCCCUUAGUAGCUCUGAUGCAGGACCAGGUGGAAAAACUCUCGCACAUUGGAAAUAUUACUGCUGCAUACAAAGGAUCAUCUUCCCCAGAGUGACGAUCAAAUCAAAGAGGGGUUGAUAGAUGUCAUUUUUGCAUCUCCAGAAACAUUGGUUGGUGAUCCCUAUUGGAGAACUUGUUUAAAGAAGUUGAACAUUAAGUUGGUUGUAAUUGAUGAGUUUCACACAAUAGCAAUUUGGGGCCAAGAUGAAGGAGACAGAAAAAAGGCUUUUCGAAAAUGGUUUUCAGAUGUAGGUGAACUAAGAUCCCUCUUU